rnacentral:siRNA from 1 species
CCAAUAUCAAUGAGGAUCCUU